rnacentral:rRNA from 1 species
ACGAGACCUCAGCCUGCUAACUAGCUACGUGGAGGCAUCCCUCCGCAGCU